rnacentral:rRNA from 1 species
GAUGAACGCUGGCGGCGUGCCUAAUACAUGCAAGUCGAACGCACAGCGAAAGGUGCUUGCACCUUUCAAGUGAGUGGCGAACGGGUGAGUAACACGUGGACAACCUGCCUCAAGGCUGGGGAUAACAUUUGGAAACAGAUGCUAAUACCGAAUAAAACUUAGUGUCGCAUGACACAAAGUUAAAAGGCGCUUUGGCGUCACCUAGAGAUGGAUCCGCGGUGCAUUAGUUAGUUGGUGGGGUAAAGGCCUACCAAGACAAUGAUGCAUAGCCGAGUUGGGAGACUGAUCGGCCACAUUGGGGCUGAGACACGGCCCAAACUCCUACGGGAGGCUGCAGUAGGGAAUCUUCCACAAUGGGCGAAAGCCUGAUGGAGCAACGCCGCGUGUGUGAUGAAGGCUUUCGGGUCGUAAAGCACUGUUGUAUGGGAAGAACAGCUAGAAUAGGGAAUGAUUUUAGUUUGACGGUACCAUACCAGAAAGGGACGGCUAAAUACGUGCCAGCAGCCGCCGUAA